rnacentral:rRNA from 1 species
UACGUAGGGGGCAAGCGUUGUCCGGAAUCAUUGGGCGUAAAGAGCGUGUAGGCGGCCCGGUAAGUCCGCUGUGAAAGUCCAGGGCUCAACCCUGGGAUGCCGCUGGAAACUUUCUGGCUAGAGUCCGGAAGGGGCGAGUGGAAUUCCUGGUGUAGCGGUGAAAUGCGCAGAUAUCAGGAGGAACACCUAUGGCGAAGGCAGCUCGCUGGGACGGUACUGACGCUGAGGCGCGAAAGCGUGGGGAGCAAACAGG